GAAACCCAGUGUGAUUCGUCACACUAUCAUUAACUGAAUCCAUAGGUUAAUGAGGCGAACCGGGGGAACUGAAACAUCUAAGUACCCCGAGGAAAAGAAAUCAACCGAGAUUCCCCCAGUAGCGGCGAGCGAACGGGGAGGAGCCCAGAGCCUGAAUCAGCAUGUGUGUUAGUGGAAGCGUCUGGAAAGGCGCGCGAUACAGGGUGACAGCCCCGUACACAAAAGCGCAUGUGCUGUGAGCUCGAUGAGUAGGGCGGGACACGUGGUAUCCUGUCUGAAUAUGGGGGGACCAUCCUCCAAGGCUAAAUACUCCUGACUGACCGAUAGUGAACCAGUACCGUGAGGGAAAGGCGAAAAGAACCCCGGCGAGGGGAGUGAAAAAGAACCUGAAACCGUGUACGUACAAGCAGUGGGAGCCCCACCACCAAAGCAUUUGCUGUACCGCGUUGACGGAGCGAAGCGACGUCAAACCGAUAAAACAGCAGUGUAAAGUGAGCCGCAGGGCGCUUUGCGCGACAGCGCAAAGGCAGGCGGUUUCGCGUAGCGAAAGCGAAUGCUUUGGGGUGG
rnacentral:rRNA from 1 species